ensembl:lncRNA
AUGGAGCCGGCCGGGCUGCAGCAGCAGUGCAUGAAGGAGAGACCGCGGGGCGGGUGGGAGAAGGGCGGGCAGCACACGACCCUNNNNNNNNNNNNNNNNNNNNNNNNNNNNNNNNNNNNNNNNNNNNNNNNNNNNNNNNNNNNNNNNNNNNNNNNNNNNNNNNNNNNNNNNNNNNNNNNNNNNAGGGGGGGGCUGGUGCGUUGGUGGGCAUCUGCGAGCCCGAGCGUCCGUGUGGAUGCGUCCUUAGCUGGGCGUUUGGUGCGGCUUUGUGCUCCCGGCACGGCCCGGCAGCUGCUCGUUGUGCGCCGCUGUUCCGUAGCGUGGGAUGCGGGAACCUCCGUGGGACCUCGGUUGCUGCCGGAGGGUGAAAAGUAACCCGGAAAGAGUCGGUGUCAGAGCUGAGCGUCUCUUGGGGCGGAAGAAUGGAAUCAUAGCAUGGUUUGAGUGGGAAGGGACCCUUAAAGGCCAUCUCGUCCUCCCCCCCGCAGUGCACACGGACACCCGCAGCUCCGUCCCCUGACCUCGGGUGUCUGCAGGGUUGGGGCAGCACCGCCUCUCCAGGCACCGAGUGCAGCGCCUCACCGCCCACCACAGAAGGGCCAGGGUUGGAAGGGACCUCAGAGAUAAUGAAUCUCCAACCCCCCGCCACAUGCAAGGCCACCAGCCUCCCCAUUUAAUACUAGACCCAUAGCAUAGCAUGGACCCAUAGCACAAAAAACUUUUUCCUUAUAUCCCGCCUAAGUCUUCCUCUUUUCGUUUGACACCAUUUCCCCUCGUACUGUCACAACAGACCCUAAAGAGUCUGUCCCUUCUUUCUUGCAGCUCUCCCCACAGUCCCCCCUUCUCCAGGCUCACAGCCCCAGCUCUCAGCCUGUCCUUGUAUGUAGUUCAGUGUUCCAUCCCUGGGCCCUCCUCUGGCCGUGCUCCAGCAGCCCCAUGUCUGUCCUGCACUGAGCACUCCCCGUCUGGACACAGCACUGCAGCUGAGGUCUCACAGCACACAGCAGAGGGGCAGAUCCCCUCCCUCGCCCUGCUGGUCACACUGCUCUGUAUGCAGCCUGGGAUACGGUCAGUUUCUGGGCUGUGAGAGCACAGUGCUGGCUCACAUCCAGCUGCCAUCCACCAGUGCCCCCAGGUCAUUUCUAGCAGGGCUGUGCUCCAUCCAUACAUCCCCCAGCUUGUCCUGAUAGCAUUGCCACAUUCCAGGCGCACAACUCACACUUGGCUUUGCUGAACUUCAUAAGGUUCUCCUGGGCCCACUGCUCAGCCUGCCCAGGUCUCUCUGGAUGGCAUCCCAUCCCUCAGGCAUGUCAACCACACUGCCCAGGAUAACAUCAGUUUACAUGGUACCUGACCAUAUGUCCAUAGAAUGGGUUACAUCUCUUGGAGCCUCAUGUCUUCAAUACUUAACAUUCAUGUCACGGUCCCCUUUAUUGCUGAUGCCAAAAGAAAGUUAUUUCCCCAUAGAGCUGCGUGUCAUUUAAAACGCUGUUCUCACCCUGCUGUUACAAUCUGGGAGACUUCUCGUGAUUUGGGAAGGAGUGGGGGAUUCUCCAGGUUUCAUUACAAGCAGUGAACCUAGAGUUGCUCACUGGUGGGAGAGUACUGUAUGCACGGUCAGCCUGGGACCUUGGCCAUUUCAUCACGUGUCAAUUAUUGUUUAGGUUAAAAGGGAACUUAAGGGAGUGUUGGUAAUUUAGGUUAUCAGAAUACUUUGAUUAGAGUUACAUUUCUGGUGCUCCUGAUGGCUGCCUGUGUCUUUUCCAUAGCAUUUGUUGCAAGUUACGUUCUUUCUGCCGUAGCUGAUAGUUUACUUGUGUGUAUUUUAUGUAUGUGUGUGUCUUUCUAUGGACAUCUAAAGCAGUGUCCAAAAGUUGGUAUCCCAUGUUAAAACCCUGAUGUUUUCUGUCCUUCAUGACUCAAAUCCCAUAUUGUCCCAGCUCAGCCUGCUUGGUGGGAAGUCUGUGUGUUACUUUUCUUCUCAUCCUUUCACAAAUUCAACACAGUUUACCUGUGUG